rnacentral:rRNA from 1 species
CCCUUAGAUGUUCUGGGCCGCACGCGUGCUACACUGAGUGGAUCAGCGGGUCAGGUUGCGCGAAAGUGUUUCGUAAUCUUGAAAUCCGCUCGUGAUGGGGAUUGACGGUUGCAAUUUUCCGUCAUGAACGAGGAAUACCUUGUAAGCGCGGGUCAUCAUCCCGCGCUGAAUACGUCCCUGCCCUUUGUACACACCGCCCGUCGCUCCUACCGAUUGAGUGGUCCGGUGAGGCUUUGGGAUCUGAGCGGAAAGAGCGUUUCGCUGUUUCUGCUCGGAAAACUCAGUCGAACCUUAUCAUUUAGAGGAAGGAGAAGUCGUAACA